GAUGAACGCUGGCGGCGUGCCUAAUACAUGCAAGUCGAGCGAACAGAUGAGGAGCUUGCUCCUCUGACGUUAGCGGCGGACGGGUGAGUAACACGUGGAUAACCUACCUAUAAGACUGGGAUAACUUCGGGAAACCGGAGCUAAUACCGCAUAAUAUAUUGAACCGCAUGGUUCAAUAGUGAAAGACGGUUUUGCUGUCACUUAUAGAUGGAUCCGCGCCGCAUUAGCUAGUUGGUAAGGUAACGGCUUACCAAGGCAACGAUGCGUAGCCGACCUGAGAGGGUGAUCGGCCACACUGGAACUGAGACACGGUCCAGACUCCUACGGGAGGCAGCAGUAGGGAAUCUUGCGCAAUGGGCGCAAGCCUGACGGAGCAACGCCGCGUGAGUGAUGAAGGUCUUCGGAUCGUAAAACUCUGUUAUUAGGGAAGAACAAAUGUGGAAGUAACUAUGCACGUCUUGACGGUACCUAAUCAGAAAGCCACGGCUAACUACGUG
rnacentral:rRNA from 1 species